rnacentral:rRNA from 1 species
AUGGGAGCCACCGACGAGUCGGAUCACGACAUGGAGAAGCAGCAGCCGCUGCUGGCCGCGGCGGCGGCGGGCGAGAUCGGCUGCGGCAACUGCAAGGCGUGCUCCUGCGCCUCGCCCACGGCGACGCGGACGCUCUCGCUGGUCGUCCUCGUCGCCGGCGCCCUGUUCGCCGCGCAGCUCAAGGCGCGGGAGGAGUACCUCCUGCUCACGGUGUUCGCGUCGCAGCUGCUCAGCUUCUGCGUCCUCACAUCGCUGCUGGCGCUGUGCGCGCUCCCGGAGGACGGCGCCCGGCAGCGGCUCGCGUGGGCGCGGGCGGCGGCCGCGCAGGUGCUGCUGUGGUCGUUCGCCAUGGCGCUCCUGGUGAGCAUGUCGCUCUGGGUGGCCGGGACCUCGCCGGUGGCCCUCGGCGCGGCGCUGCUGGGGGUUGCCCUGGCCGUCGUCUUCGCCUGCUACGCCGAGCUCGUGCAGUCCCUCUGGCCUGUGGCCUAG